GGGGAGGUCAACGGGCUUGUCGUCAUCCUCCGGGUGAGGGUUUUCUACGGCAAGAGGCUUCUCUCGAUAAGCCGCCGGGUGGUCGGGGACACGGGCUGACUGCCAGGGGCUCCUCUCCUCUGCGGCCCGCCUUUUCAGUCAGUGGGAUGUGAGCCUCUGAAAGACUCUUCUUUCAUCAGUAAUGCUCUGCAUUGUACAGAAGUCAAGAAGGAAUUGAACCUUAGCAACAUGCCCAACAGUUCCAAGAAUGCUGGAGCACGAUUGCUACAUUUGGACAGAACGGCACCAUUUUAAACCACUGCAACCGAAUAUAAAGCAACAAUUCUCUUGCAUCAUGCCCCUGCUGCUCCUCUCCAGGAAAGAAAGGCACAAUGUUUCAAGGUAAAUAAUUAAUGGAAGUACCAAAUCAAGACUUUCUGCUUUUAGUAAGCUAAGUAAAUUUUGCAUAUAGCAUAACUCCUUUAGCUCUUCCACAGAUUUGACAUGAAAAACCUAAACUCUUCAUAAUUUAACCAUGCUGCUUAUGUUGCCACGAUGCAAUUCACAGUUCUUUAGC